rnacentral:rRNA from 1 species
UACGUAGGGUGCAAGCGUUGUCCGGAAUUAUUGGGCGUAAAGAGCUCGUAGGCGGUCUGUCGCGUCGGAUGUGAAAACCCAGGGCUCAACCCUGGGCCUGCAUUCGAUACGGGCAGACUAGAGUUCGGUAGGGGAGACUGGAAUUCCUGGUGUAGCGGUGAAAUGCGCAGAUAUCAGGAGGAACACCGGUGGCGAAGGCGGGUCUCUGGGCCGAAACUGACGCUGAGGAGCGAAAGCGUGGGGAGCGAACGGG